CGUACUCACUUUUUUUCUCCUGUCUUUCAUUUCUCUCUGAAUCCAUGGAGAGAUUUUCUCUCUGAAACUCGAUUCCUGAGGAUCAUUGAUUAUUUUUGAAGAUUUCGUCUCCGUAUCUGUUUAAUAUCAUCAAAUCUGUGAAGAUUUGUAGUUUGGUUAAUCUCGGUAAGAUAUGGAUAAAGCUGAGAGUUCUAAAAGGAGAGGGGGUGCGCAUAUAUUUACAACUGUUGAUGGUCUUUCUAUGAGAUUUAUUGACUUGAGUAUAGAAGAGGUUGGGAAGGAAGGGUAUUCUGGAGCGUCCCUUAAACAAAUGUCUUGGAAACGAAUUAUAGAAGCUAUGAACACUGAGUGAAUCUGUCCGUAAUCCAACCUUCAAUUUUCCAAUGUCACCGCCAGACAAGUAUUACUUGGGCGAUGCAGCAUAUACACAUAUGAAGGGUUAUAUGACUCCUUACUGGAAUACAAGAUACUGGUUACGAGAUUUUAUUAGUUAUGGACUAGUGGUGGUAUGGGACCUUUACUGGUACUGGUGAGAAGAGUUGGUAACGAUGUCAAGGUGGUCAUGAAGUGGUGAGAAUGGGCAAGUAAUGGUGGUGGGUUGUGAAUCUUGGAGUUUCGAGAGAUGGGGUAUCUUUAUGGGUCAUCUGUGUUGGUGAGGAAGUGCAGGUGAAGGAUGAAUGGAGGUUUUGGUUUGGUCUGGGGUUUUGGUUUGGUCUUUUAUUAUUUUGUAUUUCACUUUAUCCGUGUAAUGGUUUGAAUUGUUGAAAACAUUUUUGAAUUUUUGAAAAUGUUGAUUUGAAAUGAA